AAAUCUCUUAGGAGAAUUGUAGUCUAUCGAAGCGCCCUCUGCAGCGGUGGGAUCCUAAGUCUGGUGGAAGCCAGCGUCAGAGAGGGUGAGAACCCCGUCGGAUCUAUGCUUAGCUGCUUCACGAGGUGCUUUCCACGAGUCGGGUUGUUUGGGAAUGCAGCCCAAAAUGGGAGGUAAAUCCCUUCUAAGACUAAAUACUGGCGAGAGACCGAUAGCGAACAAGUACCGUGAGGGAAAGAUGAAAAGAACUUUGAAAAGAGAGUUAAAAAGUGCUUGAAAUUGUUGAGGGGGAAGCGUUUGGAAGUCGUGGGUACGCUUAGACUUACACGUCUCUAACGAGGCGUUGAAUGUGCUAAGUGUUGGUCAGCAUGGAUUCAUCGUGCGGGAUAAAAGCGAAGGUUGAUACUUCGUCAAUGCCGUUCGAUGGAUCGAGGUGUGAAUGGCGCUCUGUCCUUUGGAACUGCGUCAUCAAGAUGCUGGCAGAAGGCUUCCAAUCGGCCCGUCUUGAAACACGGACCAAGGAGUCCAACAUGUAUGCGAGUUGGUGGGUGGUAAACCCAUGAAGCGCAAGUAACCUGACUUUGGUGGGAACCGCAAGGUGCACCAUCGACCGACCAUGAGCUUCUGCGAAAGGUUUGAGUGCGAGCAUACCUGUUGGGACCCGAAAGAUGGUGAGCUAUGCCUGAGCAGGGUGAAGCCAGAGGAAACUCUGGUGGAGGCUCGU
rnacentral:rRNA from 1 species